rfam:Mycobacterium sp. E796 contig_1, whole genome shotgun sequence.
ACGGAAGCCCGGUGAGGCCAAGGUCGAUCCGGAAGAGAAGGAUCGUUCUCCCGAACCUGGCGCCCAGCACGGAACCCGGCACCCACGCGGAGUCAUAGCCGCGAUAAUGGCAGAAGUGUUGCGGGCCUGCGUAAUUGCGAAAAGUGGAAGGCGUCGACGACCCUUUGGGUGGGGUUGCAGCCGGAAGCAUCGCAAGAUCGCCGAGGCCAACCCACGCAGCCCAGAAAUGCACGCUUGGUAACCGAGUCCCGUGCUAGCGGGCGGCGGACCGAAUUAUUCGGGACGUCGCCCGCUUUACAUU